rnacentral:rRNA from 1 species
AUUGAACGCUGGCGGCAGGCCUAACACAUGCAAGUCGAGCGAGAAAGCCUUCGGGUGAGUACAGCGGCGGACGGGUGAGUAACGCGUAGGAAUCUACCUGGUAGUGGGGGACAACAUGGGGAAACCCAUGCUAAUACCGCAUACGCCCUAUGGGGGAAAGCGGGGGACCUUCGGGCCUCGCGCUAUCAGAUGAGCCUGCGUAGGAUUAGCUUGUUGGUGAGGUAAAGGCUCACCAAGGCGACGAUCCUUAGCUGGUCUGAGAGGAUGAUCAGCCACACUGGAACUGAGACACGGUCCAGACUCCUACGGGAGGCAGCAGUGGGGAAUAUUGCGCAAUGGGCGAAAGCCUGACGCAGCCAUGCCGCGUGUGUGAAGAAGGCCUUCGGGUUGUAAAGCACUUUCAAUUGGGAAGAAAGGUUGCGUGUUAA